rfam:Picea glauca, whole genome shotgun sequence.
AUGUAAUGUAAUGCCUACAAUGUUAAUGCAUUAGAUCCUAUUAGAACUUCGCAGUUAACUAUGUUUGGGCUAGAGUAGUACUGGGAUGAGUGACUUCCUAGAAAGUUCUAGUGUUUUACAUG